rnacentral:tRNA from 1 species
GUGCCUGUAGCGAAAUUGGAUAUCGCACCUGGCUACGGACCAGGGGGUUGGGGGUUCGAGUCCCUCCAGGCACG